rnacentral:rRNA from 1 species
UACGAAGGGGGCUAGCGUUGUUCGGAAUCACUGGGCGUAAAGCGCACGUAGGCGGAUCUUUUAAGUCAGGGGUGAAAUCCCAGAGCUCAACUCUGGAACUGCCUUUGAUACUGGGGAUCUCGAGUUCGGGAGAGGUGAGUGGAACUGCGAGUGUAGAGGUGAAAUUCGUAGAUAUUCGCAAGAACACCAGUGGCGAAGGCGGCUGACUGGUCCGGUUCUGACGCUGAGGCGCGAAAGCGUGGGGAGCAAACAGG